GAUGAACGCUGGCGGCGUGCCUAAUACAUGCAAGUCGAGCGAACGGACGAGAAGCUUGCUUCUCUGAUGUUAGCGGCGGACGGGUGAGUAACACGUGGAUAACCUACCUAUAAGACUGGGAUAACUUCGGGAAACCGGAGCUAAUACCGGAUAAUAUUUUGAACCGCAUGGUUCAAAAGUGAAAGACGGUCUUGCUGUCACUUAUAGAUGGAUCCGCGCUGCAUUAGCUAGUUGGUAAGGUAACGGCUUACCAAGGCAACGAUGCAUAGCCGACCUGAGAGGGUGAUCGGCCACACUGGAACUGAGACACGGUCCAGACUCCUACGGGAGGCAGCAGUAGGGAAUCUUCCCCAAUGGGCGAAAGCCUGACGGAGCAACGCCGCGUGAGUGAUGAAGGUCUUCGGAUCGUAAAACUCUGUUAUUAGGGAAGAACAUAUGUGUAAGUAACUGUGCACAUCUUGACGGUACCUAAUCAGAAAGCCACGGCUAACUACGUG
rnacentral:rRNA from 1 species